CUGAGCAAGUUGGCACAUCCCUAUAAUCAUAACUGCUUAGGAGGGUGAGACAGGAAGAGUGCAAGUUUGAAUCGUCUGGCAACCUAGCUACUUAGCCUGACCCUGAAUAAUGAGACCUGGAGCUUGUUUUCUACUUUCGUUGCCGUAAACCAAGGGGAAUGAAUGUACGUGGGACUGUGGUGACCACGGUAACUGAAAACAUCACAACCAGCGCUGUGUGAGGCCUCCCUUUCCUCACAUCCCCCGUGACACUCUUUCCUGACAUUAACCAUCUCUACUACGGAUAAUGACUGUCAUAAUUAACUUGUCAUACUUCGAUAGUAUUCUUGUCAAAACUUGUUUUGCUCUCAGUAGUAGUAACAGAAUUGAUGUACGUAGAACACUACAUGAAUGACUGAGAAGAAUAUAAUGAGAAAACACAUUUGGUUCUAUCAGAAGAGAAGCACAGACUUUUGAAAACACUACUGUGCACAUAUGAACUCACCACAACCAAGCCUGAUUUUUCGUUAGAAGCAUUCUCUACCAGAUGAUAAUAUGUGACCAGAGUAUUUUUAUUAUCAGUAGCUUGUUUUUUUUUUCCUUUGAACAAUUUCAGUGAAACUAUUGACUGACUACAGACAUUGUGAGGAUACUAAUGAAAUAUCAGCAAGGACAAAGAAUUCCACAAUGUAUUUCAUAUAUAUAUAUGUUCUGUCUGUUUUAUUUGUGUAUAUCUUGCAUAAACUUUUUUGUACUACAACACGGUCACUUCAGGCAAAAAAUAUCUACAGAUGCAGGGUUGCUGAUUACAUGGGGUAAUAUAAAAAUAAAAAUAAAAACUAAAGUAUAUGUACACAUACAUAAAUGUUGGAAAGUUAGA